rnacentral:rRNA from 1 species
AGUGAACGCUGGCGGUAGGCCUAACACAUGCAAGUCGAACGGCAGCACAGUAAGAGCUUGCUCUUACGGGUGGCGAGUGGCGGACGAGUGAGGAAUACAUCGGAAUCUACUUUUUCGUGGGGGAUAACGUAGGGAAACUUACGCUAAUACCGCAUACGACCUACGGGUGAAAGCAGGGGAUCUUCGGACCUUGCGCGAUUGAAUGAGCCGAUGUCGGAUUAGCUAGUUGGCGGGGUAAAGGCCCACCAAGGCGACGAUCCGUAGCUGGUCUGAGAGGAUGAUCAGCCACACUGGAACUGAGACACGGUCCAGACUCCUACGGGAGGCAGCAGUGGGGAAUAUUGGACAAUGGGCGCAAGCCUGAUCCAGCCAUACCGCGUGGGUGAAGAAGGCCUUCGGGUUGUAAAGCCCUUUUGUUGGGAAAGAAAGCAGCAGGUUAAUACCCCGCUGUUCUGACGGUACCCAAAGAAUAAGCACCGGCUAACUUCGUG